CAAAGUGAUAACAUAUCAAAGAAAUACAUAUCAAAAUCUGCUGCCAUUAAUUAUAGUUUUUAACAUUUUUAUUGCAUUUACAAUGUGUGGAACAUUAUAAGGAUUUACAGUAGAAGCCAAAUAUCCCAGCCCUUAGAAAUCGAAUAGGAAAGAUUGGAUGAACCAUACAUAAAUACUUUUGAACACGAGCAUUGGAAACAUACACGAUUAUAAUUUUACAGGCUAAUACAGUAACUGCUACAUGUAACAGAACAGGCAGAAAAGGUAAAACACAGUGGUUAAGAAAGUCACUAGGGUGUGAAAUAACUGUAGCUGGGUGGUACUGGAUAAAGAGACAACACUGAAAAUAUGAUUUUUAAAGGCAAAAACAUCCUGCAAAAACAUAGCUAUCUCCUAUGCACAACUGUGAGGUAGAAUUCUUCCCACCCCGUUUUCUGGUUUCUUGACCACCAUUUGGGGGACUUCCCUGUCCAGAUGGUCCUCUCUCACACUGCUGUACCUGGGACUAACUAGUGGUAUGUUUCUUACUAUCCCUCCUACCCCCAUUGAAGAAAGUCUUUAAUGUUUAAUUAUCAUUCUUAUUUUACCUGCUGAAAACGGGUGGCAAAAGUUAGUAACAUAGACAAACCAGUGCCGUUUCUUCUAGCUAAUCUAUCACCAGCCUUGGGUAAGUGCUUUCAUCUUUCAAGGAGUGAAAAUAAUGCAAAAAUUUCAGACAUAGGAACCCCUCUGGGAGCUGUUUUGGGCAGACAGGUAUUUGCCUCCCUCAAAUAACACCAACUGCCUACUGUGAACAAUGCCAUUUCUAUCCCAGACCCACUUCUAAUAUUUCAAAUAUGGAUCACAAAAAUAGUUCACAGCUUUCUACACAUCCAAAAUAUAGUGAAAAUCCAAGACACAGUACAACCACAUUGGAAAAAGGUACUUCAGUUUCUUUUAAAACUACCCUAUGACACAGAAAUUCUAAUCCUAGGUAUUCACCCAAGAGAAAUGAAAGGCUAUGUUCACAUAAGACUUAUGUUAAGAAUAAUCAAGGCAGCUUUAUUUAUAAUUGCCAAUACUGGAAACAGCUCAUGUAUUCACAAAUAGGAAAACAGAUAAAUUACAAAGUCAUCAUACGAUGGAAUACUACUCAGGAAUAAAAAGGAGUCAACUACUACUACACCCAACAACACGGAUAAAUCUCCAAAACAUGGUAAGGGAAGGCUUCUAGAAAGAGGACAUGCUGUGUGACUAUUUACACAAAAAUCUAGAACAGACAAAUCUGAUUUAUAGUAGGAAAAAAAUAGUGGUUGCUUUUAGGGGAUGGUGUGAAGACAAGGAUGGACUGGAAAGGGCCAUGUGGAAAUUUUCUGAUAACGUUUUAUGUUUUGAUAGCACCUUACACAUUUGCCAAAACUCAGGGGAUGCAUACUUAAGCCCUAUGCAUUUCACUGUAUGCUAAUUUUACAUAAAAGGAAAAAUGUAAGCAAACGUUGAACUCUAGUUUAUGCUGAAGUAUUUGGCAGGAGGUGUAUCGAUGUCUAUAAUUUAAAAUGUACCAAAAACUAAUCUGCAUCAAUGAAUUGAUGGACAUGUGAUAACAAAAGCAUAGUUAAUGGUAGCAUCUGGGUGGUGAGUACAUUGUAAAACUUUAUAUUUUUAUGUUUGAAAGUUUUUACUAAAAAUUAUUGGGGGAAAGAAUCCAGCGUGUAAUGCUUACCCAAAUAAUGCCGCUGAGAACUUCAUUGCCGAUCUCAUAGCAACAUAAACACCAAAUUCUUCUAAUCAGUGUCAAUUUAGAAACUUAAGAACGUGUGAAAGGAGAUUCCUGAGUGUGAGGUAUUUAUUGCUCUACAUAUCAGAAGAGUAUUUUCUACUCCCAAGACAAGCUUUUUAUUUUGAGAACUGAAUGUCAACAAUGGUAAGUUUGCCAAUUAGGAAACUGUCCAGCUAUGUUCCAGCCCAUCUUUUUAACUCUAGAAAAUAUUCCCUUUGCAGGUUUAAGGAAAGACACCCCAAUGACACAACUCUUGUCACUGAUGAUACUGAUCUUAGUUUCCUGUACCAUUUCCAACAGGCUCAAGAUGUGGAGGACUUUAGCAACCAGGGGAUGUUUAGUUUUUAGUAGCCAUAGUACUUUACUAUGGUUCUAUGAGGAUGGGAAAAAUACACAGUAAUAUCCAAUGUCUCUGGCAAGGAACUUACAAUGUAGUAGAGAAUGCUGAAUUCUUUCUCCAAAUGUAGACUGUACAGUGAUACAGGGUCAGCUAAUCUCACAAUCAUGCCACCGGUUACAAUGGGUUUAGAUCAGAGAGCAUGGUUUGCUCAGCACUGCCAGAAAAGUGUCACGUUCAUAUCAAGGAGUAUGUGACUAAAACUAAUAAUAGUAAACUAAAUACCACACCAUAUGUCAACUGAUGGGGUCAUGAAACAAACAACAAACAUGUUAAUACGAGGCAACACUUUGGAACACUGGCCAAUUUAAACGCCUACAAAGUAAGAGAAAUAUCCAACCUUCUACACAGCAAUGAAGCCUAGACCUGCCAUUAACAUCCCAGCUGGCAGGCUGAGCAGUUUCAUCAUCACCACCAAUGAGUCAUCCUAUUAGAAUAAGGUCACCAACAAUGAAGACUUGGAAUAAAGCCAAUUGUAUCUGAAAUGAAGUUAUCAUCCUUGCAUCAUAACUCUGCCGGGUUAGACAUAUGUGAAGAACAGAUGCUCAAACUGCCAUCAUACAUUGAGCUUACAAAGGAACAAAUACACAAUAAGAAGGCAAAAGAAAAAAGUAAAUCCUCCAAACCAACAGAACAAAAUGAAACUAGCCCAAUUAACACUUCAAUAAUUCCCUGAGAUGGGCUAAAGUAAUGUGGAAAGUUGUG
ensembl:lncRNA